rnacentral:rRNA from 1 species
AGAUCCCAUUGUGAAAGUUUAACUGAUUGCAUUCAAUCAACUCGACGCACGCUUCAGACAGUGUUGUGUGGGUUCCGCGGCACGGCCCGGGGCAGAGCCCCCCCCCGCGCCAACAAGGGGCCCCGCCGAAGCAACAGGUCCAAUAGACCCGAUGGAGGUGGGGCCCAAGGACCCCCACUCGGAAACUUCCGUAGGUGAACCUGCGGACGGAUCAUUA